CCCAUGGUAGCUACCAUUGGGAGAAAGGAGCAGCUUGUCCUGUUGCUACACACGAAAGACCACAGAAACUCCACUGGCCGAGCUUCCAGAACUCCCACCGGCCCAGCUUGGCAUCGGCCCAGCUCCAGAUUAGCUGCCAGUCUGUGCUACAGAUGAAUCUACUCCAGAAGCUCUCCCUGCUGCAGCUCACUGCUCUGCUGGAGAGAGACACCCCUACAAACAAACAUGGCUUUAGCUGAACCUCCACACAGUGGACUUGGGUAAGGAAGACACCCACCAGACACACCACUGCGUGAG